rnacentral:sRNA from 2 species
ACAACUAAAACGCUCAAUUCCCGAGAAGGGGAGCGGGGGACCCAAUCCGUUGGGGCGAAUGGUCCGCUUGGACCUAGGGCAAGCUCUUCAUGCCCGAGCCCGACAGCUAACCCCGUAAGCGUGGCGAGAAGAGCU